CCUACGGGAGGCAGCAGUGGGGAAUAUUGCACAAUGGGGGAAACCCUGAUGCAGCGACGCCGCGUGAAGGAAGAAGUAUUUCGGUAUGUAAACUUCUAUCAGCAGGGAAGAAAAUGACGGUACCUGACUAAGAAGCCCCGGCUAACUACGUGCCAGCAGCCGCGGUAAUACGUAGGGGGCAAGCGUUAUCCGGAUUUACUGGGUGUAAAGGGAGCGUAGGCGGUUUAGCAAGUCAGAAGUGAAAGCCCGGGGCUCAACUCCGGGACUGCUUUUGAAACUGGUGCACUAGAGUGCAGGAGAGGUAAGUGGAAUUCCUAGUGUAGCGGUGAAAUGCGUAGAUAUUAGGAGGAACACCAGUGGCGAAGGCGGCUUACUGGACUGUAAAUGACGCUGAGGCUCGAAAGCGUGGGGAGCAAACAGGAUUAGAUACCCUGGUAGUC
rnacentral:rRNA from 1 species